rnacentral:rRNA from 1 species
UACAGAGGGGGCAAGCGUUGUUCGGAAUUACUGGGCGUAAAGCGUGCGUAGGCGGUCCGCUAAGUCUGAUGUGAAAGCCCCGGGCUCAACCUGGGAACUGCAUUGGAAACUAACGGGCUCGAGUGUGGCAGAGGGGGGUGGAAUUCCACGUGUAGCAGUGAAAUGCGUAGAGAUGUGGAGGAAUACCGGUGGCGAAGGCAGCACCCUGGGAUAACACUGACGCUCAGGCACGAAAGCGUGGGGAGCAAACAGG